AUUGAACGCUGGCGGCAUGCCUUACACAUGCAAGUCGAACGGCAGCACGGGAGCAAUCCUGGUGGCGAGUGGCGAACGGGUGAGUAAUGUAUCGGAACGUACCUUUCAGUGGGGGAUAACGUAGCGAAAGUUACGCUAAUACCGCAUAUUCUGUGAGCAGGAAAGCAGGGGAUCGCAAGACCUUGCGCUGAUUGAGCGGCCGAUAUCAGAUUAGCUAGUUGGUGAGGUAAAGGCUCACCAAGGCGACGAUCUGUAGCGGGUCUGAGAGGAUGAUCCGCCACACUGGAACUGAGACACGGUCCAGACUCCUACGGGAGGCAGCAGUGGGGGAAUAUUGGACAAUGGGCGCAAGCCUGAUCCAGCCAUGCCGCGUGAGUGAUGAAGGCCCUAGGGUUGUAAAGCUCUUUCACCGGUGAAGAUAAUGACGGUAACCGGAGAAGAAGCCCCGGCUAACUUCGUGCCAGCAGCCGCGGUAAAG
rnacentral:rRNA from 1 species